rnacentral:rRNA from 1 species
GGACGAACGUUGGCGGCGUGCUUAAUACAUGCAAGUCAACUGAAGCAGUGGUAGCAAUAUCGCUGUGGAGGUGGCGCACGGGUGAGUAACACGUAGGUAAUCUGCCUUCAGGUCUGGCAUAACUCCGGGAAACCGGGGCUAAUAGCAGAUGAUGCAGCGGCUCGACAUCGAGACAGUUGUUAAAGCUAUGGCGCCUGAAGAUGAGCCUGCGUCUGAUUAGCUAGUUGGCGGGGUAACGGCCCACCAAGGCAACGAUCAGUAGCUGGUCUGAGAGGAUGAUCAGCCACACUGGAACUGAGACACGGUCCAGACUCCUACGGGAGGCAGCAGUAAGGAAUAUUGCGCAAUGGGAGAAAUCCUGAAGCAGCAACGCCGCGUGAGGGACGAAGGGCUUUUGCUUGUAAACCUCUGUAGUGAGAGAAAAAAAUCCCAAUCUUUGGGACAUGAUGGUAUCUCAAAAGUAAGCCCCGGCUAACUACGUG